CGCCCCUUAUAAAAACCUUCGAUUUAUGGCGGAGAAGCAAUACGCACGUUUGAGGCCUUAUAUCGCUGUAUUCUCAUAAAUUUGAUAUUUGAAAAUUUCAAACAUAUUUUCGAACUAUACAUGUUACCAAAUAUAUCUGUAAAUAUUCAUUAAUCAAUAGCAAUGAACUGGUUACCCAACAUGGCUAUUAGAAGUAUAAUUAACAUCACAUACAAGUAAUACAGAAUUGUAGCUUAUUGGGAAAGAUUCCACCCCUGGCAGAAACCAAACAUGGUUAUAUCAACAAACGCAAUCAUUUGAAGCUGUGAGUUUUCGGGCCGCAUGGGGCGGGGCAGCCCCUUUCAUGAAUAUUUUGAGGUGAUGUUUGUACACAGGAAAAUAUGUUGGGAAUUUUUUGACAUUUUUAUGAGAAGGAGAUGCAAGAAUACAACGAUAAAAAGCCUCAGCCGUGCGGGUUUUUUUCUGCGCCAUAAAUCAAAGGUUUUUAUAAGGGAUGAAUCACCUUUUGGAGCCACAUAUUGAAAUUCAGUGGCGUACAUUGUAAAGCUGAAUGUAUUGUAUGAGACGAGAAGCGACUGUAUAUGUUAAGUAGAUCACCAAUCUCUUUCACUACCCCUGUAUCUAUGACUUGUUAGAAAAAUUUAAUCAGAUAGAUUAAGUUUUUUUCAUUUUGGCUUAUAACACGAUAUUGAUAAUUCUAAGGAGGGAAAUGGAAUCGGUAUCUUUUAUAUAGUUUAUUUUACAGAUCGGUGCGUUAACUACCUCACACAGAAUGUGGACACGAUAAGUGAGGUGGGGAAACUCUGCACAUGUCGCUGCAGAUCGGUAGCUCUUGUGGAGGUGUUUGUCUGAAAUUAUGUAAACUUUGAGCUGCACGACCAAGUAGUUUGGAAGGGAUCUUAAUGAUUGGUGAUGCGUUGAUGUCCACUGUGACGUGUUGGAUGAAGGGAACCUGAAACACAUUGCUGUCUGACGCGUUUCAUACCUAUUGUUAGACCGUUCUUCACACACUGAUUUGGGGUACGGAUUACUCCGUUUAUCUUAUCAAAAUAUACGGCUCACGACGGAUGUGACCGGACGACUGGAGAUGCUUACUACCAGGCACCUGAUUCCACCUCUGGUGUGCUUUUAAUUUUGUAUUCUUUACAGGAAUCACGAGAUCAAUCACUGUUCGUUAUCUUCACUUCGUUCAGGGAAACAAUAUUAUCAGAUUUUUCAUGUACUUGAGACAGUAUUAUUUAUAUUGUGUGCUGAAUUUGUCUUUUCGAGAAUAAAUGAAUUGUUAUUGCAUUAUC